rnacentral:lncRNA from 1 species
AGGCUUCUUCUCCCUUGAUGGAACAAUGAAUUAGGGUUGAGAGGCUCUCUCCUCCAGGGGCCAGGGGGUCUGGUUUUAUAGUCCCUUCAAGUGAAUAUGGGCCAUUGGAUCAAACCAACAUAGAUUGUAUGGUUUAGAUUCAUCCUUUAGGUCAGUGGAGAUCUCCCGCAAAGCAGAGUCCUGAUUGGACUCCUGGAGGGGGCGGGCGCCCAGUAGGACAGGGCAGGCGCCCUGCCUCUGGCCCCGUUUCGCCUCCGCUUCGGUCUCGUGGCUUCUGGAGUCUUCUAGAUGUAAGAUAAUUGCGCAGCACGUUAAUAUCUUUACGUAAUCCCGACAUGUGGGCCUUUCUUCCAUAUUUCCUGAUAACCCCCUGCAGAAAUAGACAAACACCAAAACUCGUGGAAUUCUGUCAGAUAAAACCCUAAGUCUGGAUGUUGAUUUCAUUUGGAUUCUUUCCUUUAUUUAUUUGAUAAUUAAAUUUGAUACUUAAGGACCGUCAACAAACUCCCCCAAGCUUACCUCUUGCUCGUCCCUGAGCAAGGAUAGACUCAUCUAUGGAUUAUAAGUUGUUGUAAUAUCUUUAAAAUUUGACGGUACACAUGCUUUUAAAUAAGAUCUCAUCUCUGAGUAAGACUAAACUGUCAAGACUUAAAACUUACUUACUUUACCUUCACCAUGGGACUUGUAACUGUCACUUCUGUCUUGAGUGGUUAAAAGAUAGAACAGUCUAGCCAAGUGCCAUGUCUCUUAUUCUUGAUCAGCUAUAGCUCUGGGGUUUUUGCAGAUUUUCAAAUAAUACUCAGAGAUUCCUUGUAUGAUUCUCUCAGGUCUCUCUUUUGUGGUAUUUUUGGAUCCUUACCAAGGCAGUGAUGGUAUAUGCCUUCUCUCAAGAUAUGUGGUAUUUGUGGUAUGAGGCAUAGUGACAUUGCCUUAUCUCUCACCCUACUCUAAUAAGGCUUUAAUAUCUGGAGCUCAUAGGUGGGAGAUAAAGUAUACAUACUUAUAAGACAUGUAUUGUAUAGUCAAACCAUGGAUCCAAAGAAACAAAUCAAUAAGUCAAAUCAAGAUGUGCAUGUGUGGCGAAUGAAUGGUGUAUGGUGAUGAUGGUGACAACAAUGGUGAAAACAAUGGUGGUGGAAGUCUAAUUCUACUUUGCUCUUUGAGGGGAUACAUACCUUCCUUGCUUUUUAUGAUGAGAAUGAGAUGCUCUUUUUUUUUUCUUUUCUCUCAAGUGGGUAUCUUGUACCCCUAAUUCUACUGUCGGACACUUGUCCAUUUUUUACCUCUCGUCUCACUUUUUCUUUUCUUUCGAGGUUCCGAGCACUUGCUCCUUUUUAUUUUCUCGUAUCUUUUUCUUUUUUUUUAGAGCAUUCAUCUCUUGUGAUAAUAUAGCAAGUGGUAGUAACAAGAUAACUUGAGCAUUUAUUUCACAAGGGGAAAACUGAAAUAUUUUUGGUUAUUCUCUCCCGGAUUAGGAGUAGAAUAUUUUUGGGUGAUUCUGGAGAUGGAAAUGGAUGGAUAUAUGUGGAUGGUACUUCCGGAGUAGAAGUAGCAUAUAUGAGUGAACGUGCAAGUGAAAUCUUGAUUUAACCACAUGACAAGCUCCUAAGGGUCUACACAGCUUGACCACACUCAAUGCUCAUAAGUAGUAAAUAUUAAAUGUGUGGCUCAAAGUCUAGCAAGCAUGUAUAUAUGGCUGUGGUAGGAAUUUAAACUCUCAUCAUACAGGAACUCAUCAUGCAACAUUUUAAAGAUUUUUAAAGAUAAAAUUCUCCAGAAUUCUAGCAUCUCUAGGAACAGAUAAAGAGCAGCUCAACCUUCCCAUAUCCGUUAACAACUUAGACUUCAAAUCAAGUUUUCAUCCCACAAGUUUAGGUCUAGAGCAAGAUUUAAAUUAUAACAGUUAUGUCUAAACUUGAGAGAGAACUUAAAAUGCGCAAAUUAGGUAGAGCAACUAUUUAUCAGAUCCAUGCUUAAGUUUUAUUAGAUACAGAUUAGCAUAGCCACUUUAUUUAUUUAUUAAACACACUAAGCAAAAGACAUAUAUAUAUAGAAGCAUAAAAUCUUUAUUUGGUUUUUUAUAGUUUAUGUGUAUUUGUAUUCUAAAAUAAUAUAAGUAUAAAGAUAGAUAGAAAUACUUAUCGAGAUAAAUGGGGGUGCUCUCCCCCAAGCUGAAUUUUGACGUAAUUUCCCUUGAUGUAGCUAGCAGGUGACAGAGGUGUAUUUGAAAGUCAGCAGCAUUCUGACAGCGAUUAGAAUGUCCUCCGUCUGCUAGUCUUCUUAAAUUCUGUGGAGCUCAAAUAGACAACAAAGCUUUGUGGAACUGAUUAAGUGUUAGCAUAAAUAUCUAGCCUUUAUCAUGUUGAGACUCCUUAAUAAUUGUUACUCCCUGUUUUUAUAUUUUUCUUUUUAUAGAGCAGAAAAAUAUUUAUUUUAUUUUUAUGCCACCACAGUGAAUAUACUUAUGGGUUUUAUGCCACUCGUCUACUCACAUGGGGCUUACUAUUUUUCACAUUUUAUUUUCUUUUUAGGAUAGUGUGAACUUAAUUAACUAAGUAAACUAUUUGAAAUAAUUGAAAGGGAAAGGAUAACUACCAAGUUUACCUCUUGGCAAGGCGUUCGGUGUUUUUAAGUCCUCCGAAUGGGACUCUCCAUUUUCUUAAUCGUCCUGAGGUUCGUUGGGUGGCGUAGUCGGUACUUCCGGCGGCGCCUCCUCUUCAUGUAUAGUUAUCUUCAUUUUCCACACCUGACUUGGAGCUUCCGUCUCCUCUGGAUAAUUCAGUUUAAACUCUACGUCUUCUGACCUUACAACUUCUCCUUCAUAGUCUGCCCAUCCGUCCUUGAUGAUCUGCCUCCUCUGGUUGCGGUUGCGUCGUUUCCUCACCUGCUUAGAUUCUUCAACGAUAUAGUUAGGGUCAGUAAAAUAACAACGUACCUUCUCUGAGGGGAAGUGCAUAUGGACUUCUCCGGUUCCAAUGUAGAUAAUUGCUUUAACGGUGCUGAGGAAUGGUCUUCCAAGGAUGAUGGGUGGAUCAUACUCGUCUUCUCCCAUGUCAAUAACUUGAAAGUCUGUGUAGACAAAAUGAUCAUCUAUUUUGACUGGGACAUCAGUUACUAUUCCUUUAACUUCUCGAAAUGUCUGUUCUGCCAUCUGGAGUUGAAUGUAUGUUGGUCUUAGUGGCAUGGUUCCGAACAAGAGCCGAUAGGUGACUGCGGCAAUUAUGUUGACGCCCGAUCCGUUGUCGCAAAUCGUCUUGUAGAAGUUAUAUCCAUUUAUGGAGCAGUAGAUGCUUGGCAUUCCUGGGUCGUCCUUCUUGGUCAAAAACGGUGACUUAAGUUGAUGAUCUUGGCCUCCAUGGACUACAGUGACCAUCUUAGCUGACUCGGUCCACACUUGCUUGUUCCUGUUUCUCCUGUUGGUCCUCUUCCUUGAUUUACGUCUGGAUUGAUCUUGAAUUUGUGUAGUCUUGUUCUUGAAGAAAAAUGUCUCCUUCUUCCCUUUGACGUAGAAACUGAUCUUGGCAGCACUAGUAUAGAUGAUAGCUCCCGUGGAGUUCAAGAAUGGCCUCCCUAGGAUGAUAGGAGCUCUCUCAUCAUUUCCGGUCUCUACCACUACGAAGUCUGUCGGGGCAUAUAAGGUACCAACUCGGACACAAAGGUUCUUCACUAUUCCUUUUGGAAAAGUUAUCGUCUGAUCUGCAAACUGCAAACACAUGGUUGUUUCUAAUAAAGGAUAUGUAAAGAAUUUUUCAUAGAGUACCCUGGGUAUAAUGUUAACGCUGGAGCCAAAGUCAUAGAGUGCUUCUGGAAAGUCCACCAUGCCGAUGGAGAUCGGGAUGACAGGGCGUCCUGGAUCGCCUCUCUUGACCGGCAGACGGUCAGUAGAAAAUUCAGUGACGGGGUUACUCCAAUUACCUGCAUCAAACACGUCUACAAGAUUUGCAGAUUUUAAUCCUUCCGGUUGUGAUGGUAUACCGGGGUUAGUAAUAGGAACAGCAGCAGCUAUUUGAUUUAACUGAGAUUCAAUCAUCUUAUUAAAGCUAAUUUGAUUCUUGAUGGCAGUAGAGAAAUUAUCCAUUCUAUUAUUUAUAUUUUCUAGCAUUUUAUCAUUAGAUGCCAAUUUCUUAGAUAGAUUAUCCAUUAGCUUGCCUUGAUUAGACACUAACUCUCUCAAAGGUGGAAAAUUAUUAUUAUUGUUGUAAGAAUUGUUACCUUGAUAAUUACCUGAGUAGUUAGGCCUCUGUUGAUUCCAACCUUGAUUUUGUUGAGGACAGUUGUAGUAGUAGUAGUUGUUGUUGUUGAUGUAGUUCACAUCCUCAAGCAUCUCAGGGCAGCGGUUGCCUGAGUGUCCAGUGUCUCCACACUCCUCACAAGUCAUGUGAGAGUCGUAGAUGUGCAUAACUUCUUUCUUGUCUCCAGCUCUAUCAUCGAGCUUCUUCAUGAGCAGGUCUAGCUUUGCAGACAGCAUGUUUACCUCCUUCAGCUGAUGCAUACCUCCACCUCUCUUGCGUGUCUGGGUUCUCUCUUCAUUCCAGCUUUGAUUGGACGCCAUCUUCUCCACAAGAGCUGUGGCUUGUGGUAUAGUAAGUGAUAAGAAUGCUCUUCCGGCUGCAGCAUCCAUGGUCUCUCGGGCACUGUUGCUGAGCCCAUGAUAGAAUGUCUGCAUCAAUAGCCAACUCUCCAUUCCAUGAUGGGGACAUUCUAGGAUGUAGUCUUGAAAGCGCUCCCAUGCUUCUGGAAUAGAUUCAUCAUUUUGUUGGUGAAAACAUGUAAUCUUCCCAUGGAGAGCAUUAGUCUUGCCCAUGGGAAAGAACUUAGCCAGGAAGUUUGUUGAGCAGAGUGCCCACGUAGUAUUCUUCUCCUUUGUAGCAUAGAACCACUGCUUCGCUCUUCCUAACAGUGAGAAUGGGAAGAGGCGAAGUAGUAUAGCAUCUUUGGAAACUCCUGAUAUGGUGAAUGUGUUGCAAAUCUCCAGGAAGUGUUGUAAAUGAGCACUAGCAUCUUCGUGUGCCUUCCCACAGAACUGGUUGGAUUGCACCAUGUUGAUAAGUCCAGGCUUGAGCUCAAAGUUGCCAUCGAUCUCUGCAGCAGGUCCAGUGCGAAUGUUGUCCGUAGUGGGAGCUGAGAACUCGCGGAUCGAUUUGUUCGCCAUGGCUUCGAACUCUGAAGACAAGUUCCGGUGAUCUUCUUGAUUGGAUGAAGCUUCUUCGUGAAGUGUUGAUGAUCUCUUUUUGAGCUUGGCCCUCGUCUUCUUGAAUAAUGCUUCGGGAUUGUCAACAAAAUUUCCUGGAAGAUGUCUUCUAUUCAUACAUUCCCCUGCAUAAGAUAAAAUAGAAAAAUAUCAGGGUAAAACUGUAUGAGAGAAUAGAUAAGCUCAAUCAUAUUAGUGAUGCGAAUGAUAACUCAAAAUCUUUUAUUCCAUUCCUGAUUGGUAAUCAACCUUCCCCGGCAACGGCGCCAAAAAUGCUUGUUGGGUAUUCUUAACAUCAUUACCAAAAGUAGACUAAGUUCUCUAAAUCUAGCAACGGUGCCAAAAAUGCCAAACCUAUCCCUCACACCACUUAAGCCAAGUUGUCAUCCCCAGCAUGAUAUAAGAGACGCGGUAUUGAAAUAUGCAAUUGCUCUUCUAAAUAAAUAAUGAAUGGGAUCUGCAAGCGCACAGAUUAAUACCGAUGUAGCAUUUUAAACGGGAAGUAUUCCAGGUAUCGUUAUUUAUAUUUUUACCACUGGGAAGGGAUUAGCGAUCAUCACUAUUUAUUNNNNNNNNNNNNNNNNNNNNNNNNNNNNNNNNNNNNNNNNNNNNNNNNNNNNNNNNNNNNNNNNNNNNNNNNNNNNNNNNNNNNNNNNNNNNNNNNNNNNUGGAAGAUGUCUUCUAUUCAUACAUUCCCCUGGCAUAAGAUAAAAUAGAAAAAUAUCAGGGUAAAACUGUAUGAGAGAAUAGAUAAGCUCAAUCAUAUUAGUGAUGCGAAUGAUAACUCAAAAUCUUUUAUUCCAUUCCUGAUUGGUAAUCAACCUUCCCCGGCAACGGCGCCAAAAAUGCUUGUUGGGUAUUCUUAACAUCAUUACCAAAAGUAGACUAAGUUCUCUAAAUCUAGCAACGGUGCCAAAAAUGCCAAACCUAUCCCUCACACCACUUAAGCCAAGUUGUCAUCCCCAGCAUGAUAUAAGAGACGCGGUAUUGAAAUAUGCAAUUGCUCUUCUAAAUAAAUAAUGAAUGGGAUCUGCAAGCGCACAGAUUAAUACCGAUGUAGCAUUUUAAACGGGAAGUAUUCCAGGUAUCGUUAUUUAUAUUUUUACCACUGGGAAGGGAUUAGCGAUCAUCACUAUUUAUUACAGAAUAGAAUAUGAGGUUGAGCAUCUAUCAUUGCAUGUAUAAUUAAGAACAUUAUAUCUAACUCUUCAUACAGGGAUAAGUGUCACAUAAAAGAUAUAUGAAGUAAUAAUAGUGACAAGGAUAACUAAUCUGAUCUAGCCACAUAAUAAAUAUGAUAAGCACCUCAAUUAGAUACUCUAGAAAGUCAUUAGCAUGGUAUUAGAACGAACUACAAGAAUAUUCCCUAAGUUAUUCUUAACUAUAUAGUCUAGCAUAUCAUAGUUAGUGCAAGCAUACUUAGCAAACAUUGCGAGACAAGACUACGCCCAUGCAUAGUGAUAUUAGCAAGGAAUAUGAGAAACAUAGCAAUCACUCCCCUGUAAUAAUGUUGCUCUGCCAGCCCAAUACACGAGAGGGGGACUAUAUAAGAAUCAAUGAAGCUGUCACUAUCACGAACCACCCCACGAUCUGGCAUAUUGGGUACAAUCGCAGAUAAAUACGGUAUAAGCACCACGCCUACACAAUAUCUAUCAUUUACCCAUGGAUCCGAUGGAUAAACGCUAUACAAUCCUAAGCAUGUAUAUAGAUCGAAUCUAACUAAGCCAAGUACAUAACUAUGAUAAACUAAGAACAAUAAAAUCUUGAAUAUAAGCAAGUAGAGCAAAGUCAUAAGCAAUAUAUUGAAGUAGAACAAAGUCAUAUUCAUAAUAUUGAAGAACAAAGAUAAUUAGAAAGCAAUUAGAAACACAAUUAGAGAAUUACCAAGAAUCCUCCUGACAGAUCCGGAAACCAAUCGAAGAUUGACUCCUUCUAGUUCUAAUCCUAUGUAGUUAUGCUAAUCUAGAUGUCUAAUUGAUGUGGUGGCUCUAAUCUUGAUCAGAGGCUUCUUCUCCCUUGAUGGAACAAUGAAUUAGGGUUGAGAGGCUCUCUCCUCCAGGGGCCAGGGGGUCUGGUUUUAUAGUCCCUUCAAGUGAAUAUGGGCCAUUGGAUCAAACCGACAUAGAUUGUAUGGUUUAGAUUCAUCCUUUAGGUCGGUGGAGAUCUCCCGCAAAGCAGAGUCCUGAUUGGACUCAUAGAGGGGGCGGGCGCCCAGUAGGACAGGGCGGGCGCCCUGCCUCUGGCCCCGUUUCGCCUCCGCUUUGGUCUCGUGGCUUCUGGAGUCUUCUAGAUGUAAGAUAAUUACGCAGCACGUUAAUAUCUUUACGUAAUCCCGACAUGUGGGCCUUUCUUCCAUAUUUCCUGAUAACCCCCUGCAGAAAUAGACAAACACCAAAACUCAUGGAAUUCUGUCAGAUAAAACCCUAAGUAUGGAUGUUGAUUUCAUUUGGAUCCUUUUCUUUAUUUAUUUGAUAAUUAAAUUUGAUACUUAAGGACCGUCAACAAUCCCAAUUCCCGGACUCAGAGUGACAUGAAGCUAUGGCCGUUGGAUAGAUAAUACUUUGACUAAGGACUAGGAACUCAUAGACUUGUCUGUGAGAAGCAACUAGAUAGACUGUCCUCGAACUCCUCGACCUCUUGAGGAGAGGUAUUCGCGGGUAAAACUUGAAAGUAAGGAUGCACUAUUAGUAAGCUUUUUAGCAAAACCUUUUGGCUCCUUGCUCGGCCACUCCUUGUCUACCGUAAGCCUGCAUUCCUACUUUCUCCUCUUUUUCCGUCGGGUAAGUCUUGUUGAGUACUCCCGUACUCAGGGUUUUGCAACCCCUGUUGCAGGUGAAGCUCAGGAGCCGACUUGUUUCGGACCUUGUUGUGUGUCCGUCGUCGAGGUUGACGACGAGGAAGAGUGAGCGUGACCCAUGGGCAGGGUCUGUAAAUUUGUAAUCUGUGUUUUAAAGUUUAAGUUGCUCUGCUGGACCUAGCUUGUAAUAACACUCUACCAUUUGGAAGAACCCCUUUUGUAAAUUAAGUUAUGUAAUACUUCCGCUGUUUUACUCUGAAUUAUUAUUUUGAUCUUAUAUCGUCUGUGAUACUGCAAUGUCUUCGCAACGAGUGAUCCUGGUGUUAAGGUGGCCACUUGCCAUCCUGUAAGGGUGAGGAGAAGAAGUUCUCGUUAAUUGACCAACACUGAUGGUCAGGACGAGCUUGCUUGACACGCCACAGGUAGCGGUGGAAUGAGUAUCUAACGAUGCUCAUCGGACUUCUAGAGUGGGAGGAUCCCCGGCAUCGCUGCCAGAGGUCCGUAGGACAAUGACAGGUGUCGGUGGGCCCAAACACUUAGGAGGUUCUGCCACAGCUGGUAUCAGAGCAUUCGUUGCUAAGAUGACUGCUGUAUCUUUUGAAAAACUUCAGAAUCAUUUGGAUCUAAUGCUAUAAACUUGCCUAUUUUGAGUCCAAGUGCUUUAGUCCUACCUUAUCCCUGUCUGUAGGCCUUGUUAGAAUUUUUGAAGUGGUAUGGCGGAGCAACAUAAAGUAUUGCCCUAUGUUGUAAAGUUUUAAGUAAUGUUGUUACGAAUUUCUAGUACGACUCGUAAGUUCGUGCAUGCAUCAUGAUAUAUUACUUGGUUAAAUUCCUUCCUCCUUGUUCGGGUUGGGUUGUAUAGAAUCAAACCCAUUCUUGCUAACCUUUAAGGUCUCCCUUACUAAUCUAAACUUACCCUCUACAGGAUGGCUCGUUGGAAGCAGAUCCCACGCAAGAGGACUGGUCCAAAAGGGGUCCCCAGACACCAGUUGGCCCCGCGAAGCGAUCAAGCAAGCAGUAGCCGUUCACCGCCUCAGCAGGAGGUGGAAAGGUUGUCCGCCGAGCUAACCAAAGUGACGAGAGAAAGGAUGUACAAUGUCAUGGAGAUCGGUGAACUUAAAGCCCAACUAGCAAAGCAAACACAAGCCACGGAGAACUGCGAGGCGAUGCUGUCUGGUAUGGUGGAAGAAAGGAACGCCGAUAUUGCCCGAGAAGAGGAGGCCAGGAGUCCACACAGGCACGAGCUAACCCGGAUGAAGGCGAAGCUGGACAAAACCAAGUACCUUAAAGAUCUGUACGUGAAGAUGGCGGCCACUAUCACCACGCAGAGGGAUGUCGCGUGGUAGCGGGAGGACCAGCUACAGCUAGAGAAGCUUGAGCUGGCACAUCAUUUAGACAUCGUCAACGACUUGGCAAUGCAAUACCGUGAUAUUGCAUUCGACCUAUAUCAUCAGCUCCAUCCACCUCCAGGUGAAGGGGAGGUGGAUACGGACGAAGAGUUGGCGGAUGCUGGGGAACCCGACCAAGACCUCAGUGACGAGGAGGAAUCCGACUCCGGUGACGACAACCCGGGAGGUAAUCAGGACGAUGGCAAUGAUGACCCGGGCUACAGCUCCGGCCACACCGACUAGUACGGUGAAGUCGCGGGCAACGUCGUUGUAGGAUUCCUAGUCUACCGUAGUGGGCUCGGGUCUAUAGUAUAGAGUUUUCUUUCAGUUUAAGAAGUUGUACUCGUUUGUUUCCAGUGUGUUGAACUGAUGUUUGAUAAAUAAAUGGAAGUAUGUAAGAUAUGUUCUAAGUUAUGAAUUCCAUGUGGUAACAAGUACAUAUGACUCUUAUAGCAGAUGCCGAUGCGUACACGAGGAUCUGAUGGAGCCGGGACAUCUCAGGGAUGGGAGGACAUCCCCAACCCUCCACCUGCUCCACCUUCCCUGGCUGAUGCCAUUGCUGUUCUUUUGAGUGCCACUACCGACAACGCUCGCUUUUUGCGCGAGUUAGCACAACGUCAAACACACCCCGCCCCAAACUUCAGAGCACUACACAAUGGGGACGGAGAAACUCGGUACGUGGACUUUACCGAGACAAGGCCCCCGGUAUUCACUAAGGCUGAGGAGCCAUUAGAAGCUGAUGAUUGGCUCCGAACAAUGGAGCACAAGUUCAGUCUGAUCCGAUGUUUGGAAACUCAGAAUCCCCUGUUCGCAGCUCAACAGCUUCGGGGUGCUACGGGUGCCUGGUGGGAGAACUUCCUAGCUAUCCAAGCUCCUGGGCACCAGGUCACCUAGACAGAGUUUAAGGACGCGUUCCGCGCCCAUUACAUCCCUGAAGGGCUUAUGGCCAUAAAGGCCAAAGAGUUUCUCGCCUUGCAGCAAGGCGAUAAGAGUGUCAUGGAAUACGUGGCAAAAUUUAAUCACCUCUCUCAGUACGCCACGGACCAUGUGAACACGGACAGAAAGAAGAAGGCCUGUUUCAUGCGUGGUCUUAAUACCAAACUUCAGACAAUGAUGACCACGUGUCAAAAUGCUACUUUCUACGAGGCGGUAAAUAUUGCCAUCGCCUCAGAAGAAAAGAAUAGAAAGCACAAAGAAGCCAAGAAGAAGGCUGCUUCUUCCUCCUUCUCUGGUCGCGGUCAAAAGCGCCAGAGAAUCAUUUAUCAUCCACAAGGACACAGAUGCUUUCCAGCGCCGACACCUUAGCGUGGUCCUUUUUCCCCUCCACAAUAUAGACCAGGGCAGCAGGUAUAUCCUCAACCUACUGCCAUCGCCACUGCACCACGCCAGCCGAACGCCCCAGGUGUUCGCCCCACUGCUCCGCCCAGCCACAAUUAUCCUUGUUUCAAUUGUGGUAAGCCUGGGCAUUUUUCUAAAGAAUGCCCCUACCCCCGCCAAACCAACCCCACUUUACAAAGGCCACCCAUGGGCCAACCCCAGCCGAGCCAAUUCAGGACUGGGGCUCAGAAAGGACAAAAUGUGCAAAGGGGUAAACCAGCGAAGAAAGUGGGACAAGUCUUCCAUACAGAGGUGGAGACGAUCCAGGAGGGUGAACCAGUAAUGAUGGGUACGUUUCCUGUUGCGAAACAUCCUGCUUUAAUGCUUUUCGAUUCUGGUGCAUCUCAUACAUUCAUCAAUCGCACCUUUGUGAUAAAGCAUGGCAUAGACAUUGGGGAAACAAAAGAUCAUUUUUAUAUACCGUCGCCAGGAGGACGGCUGAGUUCUAAAGAAAUGGUUCACCAGAUACCCAUCGAAUUUGGUGGGCAUAGUUUUCCCACUGGAAUGAUUGUUCUUAAAGACCAGGAGAUUGAUGUCAUACUAUGCAUGAACUGGAUGGCACAACGAGGGGUUGUGCUAGAUACCUUGCAUCGAACCAUUAAAAUCCCAUUGCCCAAUGAGAAUUCUUACCUUCUAAUCCAGUUAGCUACUCCCAAAUGGGCAAUUGGGCAGGUUCAUGACACUAAUGUGGCUGCAGUCACAAAUAUCCUGGUGGUUCGGGAUUUUCCGGAUGUAUUUCCUAAAGACCUACCAGGUCUGCCACCGGACCGGGAUGUCCAGUUCAGUAUAGAAUUGAAACCAGGGACAACCCCAAUAUCUCGAAGGGCCUACCGAAUGGCACCGAAAGAACUGGCCGAAUUAAAAACCCAACUACAAGAGCUAUUGCAGAAAGGUUUUAUUCAGCCCAGUUCCUCUCCAUGGGUUGCCCAGCCUUAUUUGUGAAAAAGAAAGAUCAAACAUUAAGGCAGUGUGUCGAUUAUCGUCCCUUGAAUGAGGCGACGAUUAAGAACAAGUACCCAUUGCCCCGUAUUGACUUGCUGUUUGACCAAUUGGCCGGGGCUAAAGUAUUCUCAAAGAUUGAUUUGAGAUCAGGGUACCAUCAAAUCAAAAUUAGGCCGAAGGAUGUACCCAAAACGGCUUUUACAACCCGUUAUGGGCUGUAUGAAUAGUUGGUGAUGUCUUUUGGGUUGACCAAUGCACCGGCCCAUUUCAUGUACUUGAUGAACUUUGUCUUUAUGCUAGAGCUGGACAAAUUUGUGGUCGUCUUCAUUGAUGACAUCUUGAUCUACUCCAAGACUAAGAAAAAACAUGCUGAACAUCUGAGAAUUGAGCUGACCCAUCUUAGAGAGCAUCAACUAUAUGCCAAGCAGCAAAUGUGAGUUCUAGCUGGACAAAGUCCAUUUCUUGGGUCACGUAUUAUCAGCGGAGGGAGUCGCUGUAGACCCAGGUAAAGUAGAAGAUGUGUUGAAUUGGAAGCCCCCGACUACGGUACAUGAGGUCCGUAGUUUUCUGGGUAUGGCGGGAUAUUACCUUCGCUUUAUCCCGGACUUUUCCAGAGUCGCUAAACCAAUCAUGACCUUGCUCAAGAAUCAAACAAAAUUUGUUUGGUCACCUGAAUGUGAGCAAGCUUUCCAGACUCUGAAAAGAUUAUUGACAACUGCACCUGUCUUAGCCCAGCCAGAUAUUGAAAAGCCCUUUGAAGUGUAUUGUGACGCAUCAGGAAUAGGGAUAGGCUGUGUGCUGAUGCAGGAGGGUCGAGUAAUUGCAUAUGCUUCCAGACAGCUUAAACCACAUGAAGAGAAUUACCCGACCCAUGAUCUUGAACUAGCCGCCGUAGUACAUGCACUAAAGAUCUGGCGCCAUUAUCUGUUGGGGAACACUUGUCAUCUAUACACAUUUCACAAGAGCUUGAAGUAUAUCUUCACUCAAGCUGAACUUAAUAUGCGCCAGCGAAGGUGGCUUAGAGUUGAUUAAAGAUUACGACCUUGAGGUGCACUAUCACCCUGGCAAGGCAAAUGUAGUAGCUGAUGCCCUUAGAGGUAAGGCUCACUGUAAUUGCUUAACAGUGAUGCCUAAAGAUAUAACUUUGUGCCAAGAGCUAGAGAACCUGGGGAUAGAAAUGAUUUCCCAAGGAAGCCUUGUCAAUCUAACGAUUGAUUUCAAUCUCGAAGCUCAAAUCAUAAAGGCACAAAAAGAGGACAAAGGCAUGAAAUAUCUUAAAGAGAAAAUUUCUAAUAGAGCACCCACAGGCUUUAAGGUGGAUGAUGCAGGAGUAAUCUGGUUCAAGAACCGGUUAGUGGUUCUAAAGGUACCUGAGCUACGUCAGCAAAUCCUGGAUGAAGCUCAUACUACCAGAUAUUCUAUUCAUCCAGGGAGCAAUAAAAUGUAUCAGGACCUGAAGCAAAGGUUUUGGUGGACGAAAAUGAAGAUAGAGAUAGCCCGCUAUGUGGCCCAAUGCGACACUUGCCGAAAAGUCAAAGCUGUUCAUCUCAAAUCCGCUGGAGAGUUGCAACCUUCGCCUAUUCCAGCAUGGAAAUGGGAUGAUAUUAGUAUGGAUUUCGUAGUAGGGUUGCCCAAGACGGCCAAAGGCUUUGAUUCUAUUUGGGUCAUUGUGGAUUGUCUCACCAAAACAGCACACUUCUUACCGGUAAAGAAAUCGUACUAUACCUCCACCUAUGCUAAGAUUUAUUUUGAUCGUAUACUAAGUCUGCAUGGGGUGCCAAAGACAAUAGUGUCAGAUAGAGGCACACAAUUUGUCUCCCAGUUCUGGAAAUGCUUACAUGAAUCUUUGGGCACCAAGCUUUUAUACAGUACAGCCUACCACCCUCAAACAGGUGGGCAAACAGAGAGGGUGAAUCAAACCCUAGAAGAUCUAUUAAGAUCUUGUGCCCUGAAUUUUCCAGAUAAGUGGGAUGACUCCUUGCCUCUAGCAGAGUUUUCUUACAACAAUAGCUACCAAGAGAGUAUCAAGAUGGCUCCCUUUGAAGCACUAUAUGGCUAUCGAUGUCGAACUCCAUUACACUGGUCGGAACCCGGGGAAAGAUGGUUCUUCGGGGUUGACUUAGUGAAAGAGACUGAGAACAAAGUUAGACAAAUCCAAAAUAACUUGAAAGUUGCUCAGUCCCGACAGAAAAGUUAUGCCGAUCAAAGACGUCGACCAUUAAAGUUCGCCAAGGGUGAUCAUGUGUAUUUGAAAGUAUCCCCAAUAAAAGGACUAAAUCGUUUUGGCAUUAAAGCCAAGCUAGCGCCUCGUUACAUUGGUCCAUUUUCAAUCAUUGACCGAUGUGGACAGGUAGCUUACCGCCUUAAACUGCCCGAACGGUUAUCCGGGAUACACAUUGUAUUUCAUGUGUCUCAACUGAAAAAGUGUCUUCGAGUACCGGACCAGGUUCAAGAUAUCGAAGUUGUGGAACUUGAACUGGAUCUAACUUAUUCGGAAUAUCCUAUCCGAGUAUUGGACCAAAGAGAUAGAGUUACUCGAAGAACAACUACCAAGUGGUACAAGGUGCAAUGGAGCCAGCAUGCGGAAGAGGAAGCCACAUGGGAAUCCGAAGAUUACCUAAUGGAGAAUUUUCCUGAGUUCCACGCUUCUCUUCAAGACAAUAUCUGAUAAAUAGGGAGUGUACUCUAGUGAAGGAAAGGUGUAGCCAAAGCCAUGUACUUAGUGUACAUAUAUGUUUUUAAUUGAAUAAUCUUCCCCAGCUUCUUGUUUUAUGAAAAGGUUGGAGAUAAAAUAGUUUGACAAAUUUCCUUUUUCAUUACGUAUCCUAAGGUUUUAAAUCUCGGGGACGAGAUUUCUUUAAGGGGGAAGGGCUGUAACGUCCCCGAUGUUACGGUUACUAAAAUUGGAUCAUGUCAUCAUAAGCAUUGCAUGGCAUAUUUGUUAAGCACACCCUGAUGCAUUAACUUAAAAUAAGUUUAAUUUUGUUGAAUGUGCUUAGGAAUUCAAAGUGUGUUUAUAUUGUGUAUGGAUGCUUGUGUUGGUGAUUAAAACCCUAGGGUGAAAGAUUUCCGAGAGCUUAGAGGGGGAAACCCUGAUUUUUGAACCCGAGAAUUGCCCCCUUUUGUGCAAUUUAAAAACCAAGCAAAAUUUGAAGUUGAGUUCAAAAGCAAAGUUGUAGAUCUUGUCAAGAUGUGCAACUUUGGUGUUUUGAGUUUUUGAAGUUUCAAUACAAAAUCCAAAGUAAUUUUGAAAAUACAGAUUUCUAGAAAGUGUCCCCUUUUCCAAUUUGAAUCUCCAAUUCAAAAUCUAUUUGGAAUUUUGAAAAGUGACCAACAUGAAAGUUGUAGAACUCAAAAAUUUGAACAACUUUCAUGUUGGGAAUUUUUCAAGUUGUUAUGGAAAAUCAAAAGUAAUUUUGGAAACUCUGAUCUGCCCAAUUCAAAAAUUUGGAUUUCCCUAAUUUGAGAUUUGAAGUUCAAACUGUUUUGCCAAAUUCACAUUUUCCACUUGGAAUCAGCUUUGGACACCAAAUAUAUUUUGUAGCUUGUAAAAUUAUGCACAGCUUUGGUUUUAACAAAUUUUGGACUUUAAUUCAAAAUUUGGUCGAAUUUCACAAAAAACAGAGAAGAGGGGAUAAGGGACUGCUACAGUGACCCGAUAGGGAUCACGGCGCCCCUGUCCAGCACGGCCGCCGCGCGUGCAGCGCCGCGUGCGCGCGUGCAAGCACGCAGCCUGCUUGCCUGCCUGUGUCGCCAGGCGACGUGGAAGCCGAGCAUCUCCUCCGUUCGCGAUAUAAGCCUUUCCACCGGCCGACAUGCUCCUUUUGUUUCCCUCGCGCCCGACGCCGGUGAACUUCGUCGCCCUCAAAAUUUGUCGUGUCCACUCCCUUUCCGAGCCACCUAAGCACACCAGCAGCUCCGCCCUGAGCUCCGCCAUCGUUUGCGCCUCUGAGCGCAAGCGCUAACCCCUCCUAGCCCGCAACCGAGCCGUUUCGCUCCCGACUCCGGCCGAAGCGCCGCCGCGAGCACCUUACCGCGGCUAGGCCUGCUCCAAGCUCAUCUACUGCCCUCGUUUGCUUCGCUGAAAUCGCGGUGAGCCACCGAUGCUUAUGCGCUAUCCAAUUCACGCUCUACUCACUCGUAGUGGCCGACGUUUGCUCGGCCUAGGUGGCCGUCCGCCGCGCCCGUGGCCGUGGGGGCUAGACUAGGAGAGAGCGAGUGUUUAGGGGGUCCAGAGGUGCGCCAUGAAGUGGAGAAUGCGACCAGCUAGUCGCGAGGGGCGAAGACGGCGCGGAUGGCUCGGUCGUGCCGUUGGUUUGGCCGGCCGGAGCUUGAAGACGAAGCUGACAGCGGGGGCCCGCUGUCAGCGACGCCGUGAGUGGAGGCGAGAGCGCGCGCAGCGCGCGUUUGGGCCGAGCGCGCGUGGGCCGGCCUGCGGGCCGAUUUCCAGGCCGCUCGCUGCACAGUGGUUUUUCCUUUUUCUUUUUGUGCAGUUUUUUCUUUAUGUUUGAUUUUGCAUAUUAAAUUGUGUACUGAUUCAAGAAUCAUGAAAAGUUUUGUAUAGAUUCCAUGUAAUAAGUAGAACACAGGAAAAAUAGUAGAUUUUCUUUUCUGGUAGUUUGCAUGUGUAUAAAAAUUGCCUCUUUUAAUUAGCAAAUAAAACUUCUCUGAAUUUUAAUAAUUUAAUUGCAUGUCCAAAAAUCACCAAAAUUUGUGGGGAGUCUCUGAAUAUUAUUCCCUGGCUUCACACAAAAUUUGGUGGCAUUUGGAUAAUGUUUGAAUAAAAUACUAUUAUACCCUUAAUUAAUAAUUAAAUAAUAAUGCUAAAAUAAUUAGAUAAUAAUUAGUUAAAUCCUCAUAAUUAGGGUUUGAGUGAUUUUGGGAUUAUGUGAUGACCUGAGGUCAUUAACCUUAAUGACCUUUGGCAUUUAAUUAUUGUUUGGCCUUAAUGCUUAAUUAUUGUCAUUAAUACUUAAUUAAGAAUUAAUUAAGGUAAAAAGGAUUAAUACUUAGUUAAUCUAGGAUAAUUAUGAAUCAAGAGGAAUCUUAGUUUGCACAUGUAACCUCUUAUGUAAAGACACUAAGAUGAUAAACAAGUUUACUUAUUAGUUAGUCUGUGUUGCACCAAGAAGGCCAAUUGUACUUAAUUUGUUCCUUCUUAUAUAUCUGUCAUUCGCAUAUCAUUGUUGACACUAGCUAACACCACUUAGAUACUAGGUUGUCAUCCCUAGCAUGGCGCCAGAGUGUACAAAGGUAUUUAUAAAUAUAAAGGCUCUCUAGAAAAUAAUCUAUUCUAUCCGCAAGCGCACAGAUAAAAUACCUCAUUGUAGCAUUUCACCAGGAUAAGUAUUCCAGGUAUCGUUGUUUAUAAUUUUGCUCAAGGGAUCUCAAAAAGAUGAAAUUAAAUCAAGGGGCAAAAUCUAUCAAGGCAUAGACUAGAGAUAAACUUGCAAGAACAUGAUUACUAAUGAGAAACUCGUCACACAGUCACAUACUUUAGCAGGGGGUAAACCAUAAAGAUAAUGAUAAUAAAGUAUAAGUUCAUGGGAUAAAGAGCACAGCGAUUAGAAAAUAGACUACUCCUUAUAUAUGUAGGUGAUGUCGGAUUAGCUAGAGAAUGGAUUCUAAGUAAUCUACUAACUACUAACUCAUAAUCUACUCUAGUUAUCUACAAGAUCAUAUAUAGCAUAAAAGACUCUUCAUUCAUGUAUAAGGAACAUUGAUAAAGUAAAUCAGAACAUUGCAUGACUUACUCCACAAUACCGGUUCUGCCUGUCCUAUCAACGGAGGGUGGACUAUAUAAGAAUCAACGAAGCUGUCACUAUCGCGAACUACCACACGACCCAGCCAAUAGGAUACAUUUGCAGAUAAAUAACAUCUAAGCACCACGCUCACAUGUGAUCUAUCACCUAAGUCCCUCGCGUCAAGAGCUAAGCGCUUUGCAAACUUAUACAUAAACUCAUUAUCAAUCAUAACUAUAUCAAAUAUAGAACUAGAGCAAACUAAGAACAUAAUAAUUAGAGACAUAAUGCAAUUAGAACAAUAGAAUUAGAGAAAGAUAUGAAUAAUACCAAUCUUUAUUACCGAAGAUCCGAAUCCAGAGCGUAGUGCUCUACUUCUCUAAUUGCUAUCUAAUCAACCUCUAAACUUGAAGGAUUAGGGAGUAGCUAAUUCUAAUUCUCUGUGGGAGAGAAGCUCUAAACCCUAACUUUGAUGGCUACCUCUGAAUAAUGAUUUCUCCUCCUCUCCUCCAGGGGCCAGGGGGUCUGGUUUUAUAGUCCCCUCAAGUGAACGUGAACCAUUGGAUCAAACCGACAUAGAUUGUAUGGUUUAGAUUGAUCCUUUAGGUCGGUGGAGUCUUGCCCCGAAGCAGAGUCCUGUUUGGACUCCUACCCUGGGCGGGCGCCCAAGGGGGUGGGCGGCCGCCCUGCCCCCGAGCCCGAAUCCCUUCUCGUUCGUUCCCGUGGCUUCUGGACCCUUCUAGAUUGAGGAAAAUUGCGCGGCACGUAAUUAUCUCGUUGUAAACAUGACAUGUGGGCCUUCUCUCCAUAAUUCCUAAUAAACCCCUGCAGAAAUAGAUAAACACCAAAACUCGUGGAAUUCUGUCAGAUAAAACCCUAAUUCUAGAUGUUUGUUUCAUAUUGAUCCUUUUUCAUGUUUAUUUGAUUAUUAAUUUUAGUACUUAAGGACCGUCAACAAACUCCCCCAAGCUUACCCUUUGCUUGUCCCUGAGCAAAUAGCUAAACUUAGACGGAUCAGGAGUUGCUUCGAUGUUUUCUUUCCUGACAGGCACACAUGCUUUUACAUAAAAAUUCUUCCAGAUUAAAGUGAAGUGUUUUGGAGUUUAGUACCUGCACUUAAAUCUUAAGUAAUCGAAAGACAAAAUAGUUAAGUUAAGCACUAUCCCUCCUGUUUAUACUUCACCUUUGUUCCAGAGUUUUUCAUAGGUUUUCAAAAUAAAACUCAGAGUUCCCAGCAAUGAUUCUCUCAAGUCUCUCUAUAUGUGGUAUUUGUGGAUCCUUACCAUAAUGUCACUUACCUAUAGCUAAUGGAAUAUUUAAGUGGAACUCAUAGGAGUGGAAAACAGCUCAUACAUAUAUUGUCUAAUCGAGCCAUGGAUCCAAAGGAACUCAGCAUAUAAUUAAAUCAAGAUGUGCAUGUGUGAUGUAGUAAAUGAUAAUGAAAAUGCAUAAGUGAUAAUAAAACUUAGUUCUCAUUGCUCCUCAUAUUGCUACCUCUCCUCCUCUUUGAUCUUUGCUUUGGGAGAACAUGGGCUAUCUUUUUCUUUUCUUUUCCUUUCUCUUUUUUUUUCAGGUGGGUAGUAGAUACCCCUAAUUCUACUGUCGGACACUUGUCCAUUUUUUCCGCUCAAGUGGGCAUCUUUGUACCCCUAAUUCUACUUCGGACACUUGUCCAUUUUUACCUCUCGUCUCACUUUCUUUUCUUUCUUUUUUUUCUUUCUUUCUUUUUCGAGGUUCCGGGCACUUGCCCUUUUUAUUUCCUUGUAUAUUUUUGCAUAACCCAUGCCUCUUCUGCAUUGAAUCUUUUUAGAGAGAGAGAAUAACAAUAUUCGGGACAGUGAGUGAAAAUAUUUUUAGCAAUUUCAAUGAUUGGUGAUGAAUGCUGUGGUAGAUGUGUGCAAGUGAAUAUCUUAACUUAACCACAUGAAAAGCUCCUAAGGGUCUACACAGCUCGAUCAAACUCAAUGUGAAUAUAGUAAAAGAUGUUAUAGCGAGUAUAGCUGUGGUAGGUAGUUUGUUUUGCUAGGAACUCAUCAUGUGCUUUGUAAGUUUUCAAAAUAAAUCUCCAGAACUUAGUGUAGUAGGAACAAGAUAAACAGUAGCUCAACUUUAUAUUAUGCCUUUCUCUUACCUAGACUUUAGUUUUAUGCUUCCCAAAGAUAGUAAUUUUAGUUUUAGUAAUUCCUGGAAGAAUUCUAAUAUAAAAGAUAGGUACUUGUAAGUAAGCAAACAGAGCAACUGUUCAUCAUUUCCAUCAUGCAUUUUUUUGGUCUUUUUAUUUUUUCUAGAUAUUAAACUUAGCAGAAAAAUAAAGCACACUUAUCUACACACUCUUUUUAUUUUGUUUUCAUGUUUAUUAAAAUGCAGUAAAUUAAAGAAAGAAAAUAUUUAUUUGGUUUUCUAAGUUUUUCCUUUUAAGAUAAAUUACGUACUAAGACAGAAUAGAAUAAAUAAGAAGAGCAAAUAAAAACUUACUUGAUAAAUUGGGAAGGAACUCCCCCAAGCUGGAUGUUGACGUCGGUCUUACCCGAUGUUCCAGAACCGCGUCAUGGUUGUGAUGUUGUCGUUCAUUGUUGUUGUAUCUUGUCUCAGCUCUUGCACUGCAGCAGCAUGGUCCUGGUUCCAUUUUUGUUGCUCUUCCAGGAGUCUUCCAGGUUGUGCUUGCGUGUUCUAGAUGUCGAGGAGGGUGUUGUCGGUGCGAGUGAAGAAAGCACCGGCCUCUUGAUAGUAGUCAUUCGUGAAAGCGUAGGAGGCGACGGAGUAUCGUCCUGCAUCAAAUUGGGGCGGAGGUCUGGAUCCUGAAGCUCCAUAUGGAUCAGUGGAGUACCUGCCCGUAUGAAAUGGCGGGUUUGUCCACUGGUGAUCUUGGCUCUCCGGCCAUGUCUCUUCUGUUGGCUCUUGUGGUUGCGCAUGACGAGCCCAUGGGUCUCGAAGGACUCGAGGAUUGUAAUCGCAAUAAUGCAGGUGCGCUGCUUCUUCUGGUCCAGGGUCAGCUCCAUACCAGGUGCGUUCUCGGUCGGUGGUCAUCCUUUUAGAUGCCACUCGAUGUGGAGCUCUCUGGUUCACUGGUGUUGCUGCAAUCUCAAUCAAAAGAUUUUGCACAACGUAGAGGCCAAGGUUCGGGUUAGGUAACCGAAUCUUGCCUUUAUACAUUACAUUCCCCUCUUUCUUUAACAUCUGAGCUUGUCUAAAUGUGUCAUAGCCAUGAUAAAUUCUUAAUUCUUCUAUGAAGUCCAGUGACGAGUUUUCUAGUAAGUGAAGAUUAGUGGCUAGACGAGUGAUAAGUGAAGUACAUCCUACUGGACCCUGAAGACUAGGUAUACUAAGCCAAUGUGAA